UCGCCUAUAGCGCCGAGCUCCAUCCAAUAGGCGAGCAACGACAACCCGUGGAUGGAGGCGGGGGACCCAAUGGUCCGCCGAAGGACUUGGAGCCGCCCGCGGCUCCUUGGGGUGAAGCCGGAAUGUUUCCGACAGGAGACAUGACGGCCGGGCGACCUCUUCCGCCCGAACCCGACAGCUGACCUCGUAGGCGUAUACGAGAGGAAUC
rnacentral:sRNA from 2 species